rnacentral:sRNA from 1 species
AAUAUAGGUGUGUUGUAGAGUCAGGCAGAACCCAGAACGUCUGGAGAUGAAUGUAGGGAAGAAGGAAGGACCAGCAAGUUCUUCUGGGCUGGAGUACAAUGGCGCAAUCUCCGCUCACUGCAAUCUCCGCUGACUACAACCUCCGCCUCCCGGGUUCAAGUGAUUAUCCUGCCUCAGCCUCCUGAGUAGCUGGGAUUACAGAUACUUAACUAUCAGGAAACGUUUACAGAUGAAGAAAGAAGAACAUCUGAACACAGACUGAGCUUACUGGAUAUUGAUGCCAGUGGCAAUAUUGGCAAACAAAUCUUGAAGAUAGACGGCCAGAGAAAUGAUGGAAACUGUCUGAGUCACUGCUUGGAAGAGAGCCACCAAACCAGGAGUGCUUACAUCCGACUGGAAUGCUGAUCCCAAAGUUGUCAGAUGGAGAGUAAAUACAAGGAGAUACUCUUGCUAACAGGCCUGGAUAACAUCACUGAUGAGGAACUGGAUAGGUUUAAGUUCUUUCUUUCAGACGAGUUUAAUAUCGCCACAGGCAAACUACAUACUGCAAACAGAAUACAAGUAGCUAACCUGAUGAUUCAAAAUGCUGGGGCGAUGUCUGCAGUGAUGAAGACCAUUCGUAUUUUUCAGAAGUUGAAUUAUAUGCUUUUGGCAAAACGUCUUCAGGAAGAGAAGGAGAAAGUUGAUAAGAAAUACAAAUCGGUAACAAAACCAAAGCCACUAAGUCAAGCUGAAAUGAGUCCUGCUGCAUCUGCAGCCAUCAGAAAUGAUGUCACAAAGCAACGUGCUGCACCAAAAGUCUCUCCUCAUGUUAAGCCUGAACAUAAACA